GUGGGGGAUAUUGCACAAUGGGGGAAACCCUGAUGCAGCGACGCCGCGUGAGGGAAGACGGUUUUCGGAUUGUAAACCUCUGUCUUUGGGGACGAAGAAAUGACGGUACCCAAGGAGGAAGCCACGGCUAACUACGUGCCAGCAGCCGCGGUAAUACGUAGGUGGCAAGCGUUGUCCGGAAUUACUGGGUGUAAAGGGAGCGUAGGCGGGUCUACAAGUUGACUGUAUAAACGAUCGGCUCAACUGGUCGUGGCGAUCAAAACUGUAGAUCUUGAGUGGAGUAGAGGCAGGCGGAAUUCCUAGUGUAGCGGUGAAAUGCGUAGAUAUUAGGAGGAACACCAGUGGCGAAGGCGGCCUGCUGGGCUCUAACUGACGCUGAGGCUCGAAAGCGUGGGUAGCAAACAGG
rnacentral:rRNA from 1 species